rnacentral:rRNA from 1 species
UUGAACGCUGGCGGCAGGCCUAACACAUGCAAGUCGAGCGGAUGAAGGGAGCUUGCUCCUGGAUUCAGCGGCGGACGGGUGAGUAAUGCCUAGGAAUCUGCCUGGUAGUGGGGGAUAACGUCCGGAAACGGGCGCUAAUACCGCAUACGUCCUGAGGGAGAAAGUGGGGGAUCUUCGGACCUCACGCUAUCAGAUGAGCCUAGGUCGGAUUAUCUAGUUGGUGGGGUAAAGGCCUACCAAGGCGACGAUCCGUAACUGGUCUGAGAGGAUGAUCAGUCACACUGGAACUGAGACACGGUCCAGACUCCUACGGGAGGCAGCAGUGGGGAAUAUUGGACAAUGGGCGAAAGCCUGAUCCAGCCAUGCCGCGUGUGUGAAGAAGGUCUUCGGAUUGUAAAGCACUUUAAGUUGGGAGGAAGGGCAGUAAGUUAAUACCUUGCUGUUUUGACGUUACCAACAGAAUAAGCACCGGCUAACUUCGUG